rnacentral:rRNA from 1 species
UACGUAGGGGGCAAGCGUUGUCCGGAAUCAUUGGGCGUAAAGCGCGCGCAGGUGGUUCCUUAAGUCUGAUGUGAAAGCCCACGGCUCAACCGUGGAGGGUCAUUGGAAACUGGGGAACUUGAGUGCAGAAGAGGAAAGUGGAAUUCCAAGUGUAGCGGUGAAAUGCGUAGAGAUUUGGAGGAACACCAGUGGCGAAGGCGACUUUCUGGUCUGUAACUGACACUGAGGCGCGAAAGCGUGGGGAGCAAACAGG